rnacentral:rRNA from 1 species
AAGUCGAACGGCAGCACAGAGGAGCUUGCUCCUUGGGUGGCGAGUGGCGGACGGGUGAGGAAUACAUCGGAAUCUACUUUUUCGUGGGGGAUAACGUAGGGAAACUUACGCUAAUACCGCAUACGACCUACGGGUGAAAGCAGGGGAUCUUCGGACCUUGCGCGAUUGAAUGAGCCGAUGUCGGAUUAGCUAGUUGGCGGGGUAAAGGCCCACCAAGGCGACGAUCCGUAGCUGGUCUGAGAGGAUGAUCAGCCACACUGGAACUGAGACACGGUCCAGACUCCUACGGGAGGCAGCAGUGGGGAAUAUUGGACAAUGGGCGCAAGCCUGAUCCAGCCAUACCGCGUGGGUGAAGAAGGCCUUCGGGUUGUAAAGCCCUUUUGUUGGGAAAGAAAUCCAGCCGGCUAAUACCUGGUUGGGAUGACGGUACCCAAAGAAUAAGCACCGGCUAACUUCGUGCCAGCAGCCGCGGUAAUACGAAGGGUGCAAGCGUUACUCGGAAUUACUGGGCGUAAAGCGUGCGUAGGUGGUCGUUUAAGUCCGUUGUGAAAGCCCUGGGCUCAACCUGGGAACUGCAGUGGAU